rnacentral:lncRNA from 1 species
CCAAAUGACAUAAAAGUGGGGCCAAUCCUAGAGCAUGAGGAAGGUGUGACUUCCUCUCUUAGUUUGGCACCUCCCUAUUACGCCUACACCUCUCUACUAAGCUCACACCUCCUAAGCUUCCUAUUAUUUUCCUAAACUAAAGACCUAAAGAUGCUUUUACAAAAGAGGUGUCUAAUGUUUCCCUCUAAGCACCUUUCUAAACAAUAUUCUCUAUUAUUUACAAUUUAAAAGAAACUAAAGAGAGAUAUUUAAUUUGAAGCCCAUUCUUGAAAGCUUGUAGACUUCUUUGGCGUUAGGCUUGAUCCUCUCUUUAUGUCUUCUUUUAAUUUUGAGAAGACUAGAAGGAAGAACUUCAAAUGUGAUGGUGAAUGCCCUCUUCCUUCAUUAAUAAAAGCCUCCUUUAUUUUAUUCUCAUCA